GUUGAGCUAUUCCUUGUUUCUCUAACUCAACUCAGUUGCUAAAAUGUCUUGUUUCACUGAUCUUAUCUUGUUUAUUCUUGGUGUAGGUUCAAUGUAUCAUCACUCUCUUCAAAACCUGCUCUCUAAUGCUUUUACCUGGUGCUCUUCUUCUCACCAGAAUAUAAUAUCUCUGUGGUUAAGACAAUGGUGGCAUUUAUAUAAUUCAGUAAUUUAUUUGACAAAUAUUUGAUGAGCUUCUGCUAUGUCCCCAGUGUCAUAUUGGGUAGCAUGUAUAUGGUGAUUAACAAGCAACCAUGGUCUCUCCCCCAUGGAACUUACUGGUAAAACUAAUAAAUAAACAUUGUAUAUCAUAUGGGGUUAAGAAUUUGUAGUAAUUAGAAGACAUCAUCAUCAUGGUGGUGUGAGAGGAUCCUUGAGUCUCUGCUCUUCGAUCUACAAUGAUUAAAACAUUCAAAACUCAACAAAAGCUAAAUUGCACCAAACAUCAGGGUGAUGGAAAGAUCUACACAUCAGUACAUGCAAAGAAAGUGAAUUGGAGCACACAGAAAAGCCUAAAUGAGGGAGCAGUGGAGGCAGCACCCAGGAUCCUGGAUCCCCAGCCAUGGCAGAUGAGCCAGCCGCCCCUGAUCCCAGAGGACACAGUGGUCUGCAGCAGAGGUGUACGUGUGACUGCAGCCAGGCAGGGCAGUGACACCUGUGGCUACAGGAAGCAGAGGAGCUACAAAGGUGGAGUCCCAUGAUCCCAAACCCCUGUCCUCAGCUCAGAGCCUGGUGGCACCAGGUGUGCACAGCACUCCCACUUCCCAACAGCAGUGUUUCCUGGGACCAAAGGGUAACAGGCAACAGCUGAGACAGUGUUGCUUGUACCAGUCUCUCUCCCACCUCCCCAACCCCAAUCCCCACAGCUGUGCUGGAGCUUCCCACUCAGUAGAUCUCAGAUGUGGCUUUACAUUGACCAUUUCCGUGUCCUGAGAGCAAAGCCAGCAACCACAGAAAUGCAAGCAAUAAAAAGCCAUCAGUGGGCCCCAGAAGGGCAGGCAGCAACAAAGAGAGUAUCCAUGUGACACAAAAUAGAGGAGCUGGAGGAUAGAACUUGCAGAUCCCAAUAUAGCCAGACACAGCUCAGGUAAGAGAAAUCAAAAACAAUUACUAUAAUGACACCUACUGAAAACAAAAAAAGGCUUCUAAUCUCUAAGCAAUUGAAAAGUUUGAAUCAAAACAAAACUGUACCUAAAUAAAAAAUGUAUUUGCUACAGAAAACAAUCCUCCGAAACCAAACAUAAAGUCAUGGGAGAUUCGAUCUAAUGGACAAAAAAUUCAAAAUAGCUAUCAUGAAUAAACUCAGUGAACUUCAAGAAAACUCAGAAAGAUGGUUUCAUGACCUCAGGAAUGAAAUCAAUGAACAGAAGGAAUACUUCAAUCUCCAAAGAGAUCGAAACUUUCAAGAAGAACUAAGCAAAAAUUCUGGAGGUGAAGAACUCGAUGAAUGAGAUGAAGAAUGCAUUGGAAAACAUUGUAAAAAGAGCAUGUCAUGUGGAAGAGAGAAUUAGUGAGCUUGAAGAUAGCUAUAAAUGGGGCAGGUAGAAGAGGAGAGACAGCUAACACUUUUUAAAAUGUAGAAAUUCUACAAGAACUAUCUGACUCCUUUUGAAAUGACAACAUAAGGGUAAUGGAUAUCACAGAAUGAGGAGAGAGAGAGAAGGGAGUAGAGAGCUUAUUUAAAGAAAUGGUAGCUGAGAACUUCCCAAACCUGGGGAAGGAACUGAAUAUACAAAUCCAUUGUGCAAGUAGAACACUCAAUUAUCUCAACACAAAAGGACCCUCUCCAAGACACGUGAUAACAAAACAGUCAAAAAUCAAUGACAAGAGGAUUGCUGGGAAGGUGGUAACACAGGACUCUGAACUGACCUUCUCCAAUGGACACAACAAAUUUACCCCUGUGGAAUGAUUACCUCUGAGUGAGAACUGAAGACUGUUAAAACGAACCCCGAAAACAAAGAACAACACUGACUGAGUUGUAAGAGGCAGAGAUACCUUCCUGCUGAGGAAAGAGUCACAUUCUUGCCAUGGUGCUUCAAGCCAGAGACAUUUUAAGGUAUGAAGCUUUUCCUGAAGGAGCAGGGGAUCUGAGGGGGAGAGUGAUGUCAUAAUAAGCAGCCUUCAAAUUCAGCACAACCAAAGACAAACUGGCUUUGCUGGUUAUUAAACCCAAAGGAGAAUACCCCCAGAAAACCUAUUGAAGAGAAGAGAAAGAAAAGCCUGCUUUCAAGGGGCCCAUGGAGAAAUUCACCCAUUCUAAAAACCAAACAAAAUCACCAGAAAGAAAGGUGCAUAGUCCUUUGGUUAAAAAAAAGACUCACUGGAUAAGCUCUGAGCACAUCUCAGAGAGGCAGAAGGUGAUUGGGAUCACCACCCCAGGGAGUGAACACUGGUCGGAGCCAUUAUUGUGACAUAAUACAGGCCUCUGAGACAGACAGUGGCAGAUGCAAUUGUAUUUCUUCCCAUGGUCUGUUAGCUGAGGGGUUUAGCCUACCCACUAGAGCAGUGAUUUAAUCCAGCUCAUCCAGGGAAGGCGCCCUGCCCUAGGGACUCACCCCACCCACUAGCCAGCCAACAGGGAACUUGUGGGGCUGUGUAGGUGGUGUGUUCUGGACCUCUACAGCAAGACAAGCAGGUCUGCUUCAGCAGAGCAGGGCAUGUACACAGGGUGGGCCUGUGUUGAUGGGGUUUAUGGUCCCACAGUGGGGUGGUGAGACUUCUCAGGUGCAGCAGGCUUGUGCUGUUGGCAUUCUUAUACAACAAAUAGGGAAUCUGCCCACCUUCCAACACCUGAAAUGAUUGUGUGCUCCCAUCCCUGAGUCUGGCGUCACAAGGUUGAGCUCCUGAGAGAGCUAACAACAGCCCUGCAGACCAAAGGCCCAAAGAAAAUGUGAGGCCGUGACACUAGCAACCAGCCACACUGGGGCCUGACUCACUUUAUAGCAAAACAACAUCAGGUAUGUGCUAUUAGACCUUUCAGCCAGCUGUGUUGGGGCUCACUUCACCCAAUAAAGUGAGUAAAGUGACCGUAGCAGCAACACACAGCUGAGCCUUACAAUCACCUGGUCAGGGGGUCAGCCUCACCUUCAUAUGCACCUUCAGCAAGACCUAACUUGCCACAGCUUCUAGUCUGUAAGCCUGGCCUGCAGACUGUGGACUCGCCAGCCCACAUGCUCACACAGGCCAGUAUAUUAAAGUCAGUCUCUCUCUCCACAUACGUAUACACACAUCUGUGUAUGUGCGCACAUGCACGUGGGUGUGUAUCCUGUUGCUUGUUUUUGGGAGAAGCCUGGCAACCACAUUGCUGAAGUCCCUUUGUCCUUCACUUUUCCAUUUCAGAAUCCAUGUCAUUAGAGGGCUUUAGAAACUCAGCGCCAUAGGAAGUUUGCAGAUGAAGCGUUUGUCCAAUCCAGACCUUGUACUGCAUGUCGGGCGCUCCCAGCACUGCCAGGGAAUUCUGGGGAAAGC
ensembl:lncRNA